AAAAAUUGCAAGAUUGGGGUCCCUGUUAAAUCAAGCAGUAUAUAAUUUCUGUUCAUCAUACUAUGUUGUCUAUAUACUUAACCAAUCAUAAUAAGAAAAAUGUUUUGCUUAGUUUUUGGUUCUUUAGAGCCUAUUUGUUAUUGAUGUUGAAAACUGCUUUUUAUUUGUUUAUUUAGAAGAACAUUUUCCAGGUGUUUUAAGAUUGAAA
rnacentral:misc_RNA from 1 species